UUAAUAGAAACCAAAAAGAGGUAUUUUAUUGUUAAUAAAAAUAUUGAAUAAUAUUCCUAUUAAA
rnacentral:tRNA from 1 species